UACAGAGGGGGCAAGCGUUGUUCGGAAUUACUGGGCGUAAAGGGCGCGUAGGCGGCCCGCUAAGUCGGACGUGAAAUCCCCGAGCUCAACCCGGGAACUGCGUCCGAUACUGGCGGGCUUGAAUCCGGGAGAGGGAUGCGGAAUUCCAGGUGUAGCGGUGAAAUGCGUAGAUAUCUGGAGGAACACCGGUGGCGAAGGCGGCAUCCUGGACCGGCAUUGACGCUGAGGCGCGAAAGCUAGGGGAGCAAGCGGG
rnacentral:rRNA from 1 species